rnacentral:pre_miRNA from 12 species
ACAUACUGCUGUUUUCAGUGAGUGAGGGUCCAGUGUUUCACAUUGAUUGUUAUAUAUUGUGACUAGAUCCACACUCAUUAAAAACGGUUGUAA